GGGCAUACCUAUGAACUUCAGAAUGUAGUGGAAGAGUUUCAAUUUAGUUUACCAGACAUCACAGGGCACUACCAGAACAAAACAUCACUUAAGUUUAUUUCAGAUGUAACAGCAAUGUCAUGUUAAAAUUGACAGGUUUAAUCCUUAACUGCACCAAGUAAACUCAGCCACUUAAGUAUUUUUAAAAAGUUAUUCCCUCCCCAAAAAUGAGGGAGCUUUUCUUUCCCACUGCCCUGCAGCACAGUUUCCUGGUAUUUGUGUGUAUGGACAACAUAUUCUUUAUUGUUUCAACUGGUGACUAAGUUGCUGGGAAAAUUUGACAGCAAUUUUCCUCACAAUCUCUAUCUGAAUGAAUGUUAUUUGCAUAGAUUUUUCUUUGCAUGCUCUUCCCCCUGGAAACUUUGAUUAAGAUCCUAUAUAAAUUUGUAACUGUUAAAGCACUAAUGGAUGUUUUUUGGUGAUUUUCCAAUUAAUGGGAUUCCUCCUUUCUUACUAAAUGCCAGAGGUAAUAUUUUAUUACGUACCCAAAUAAUAGUUCCAUACUGGACACUGCAUUUCAGCCUUCUGUUGAUCUCACUAAGAACCAUUCUUUACUUCCUUUUCUCUCAAAUUGGCCUCUCCCUCAGUGGACAAAUUUGAUAUCAAUACCAAUUUCACGACCAAUACUGCCUCUUUUACUUCCCCUCAAAAUUUUCUAUUAUGAAAGCUUUCAAAUUAAACUGGGGGGGGGGGGGGGGGGGAGGAAGAGGAAGCAGAGGGAAACUGUCCCUACAAGAGGUUACUUAUAUAUUAAACUUGGGUUUUUUCUUUCCCCUUUAUAUAUGUACUUGUGGUUCACAGUGAGACAACUCCUCUUUCAUAUAGUUUGUCAAUAACCACUUUUAGGGACACAUUCACAGAAGUAAUGAUGGUUCACUGUUUUAGAAAUGAGGAGUAAAAUUAUCUCAGAUUAGUCAUAUACAUAUUACAAUCUAUACUGAAUUCUGGAAGCUUACAAAAAACCUGAAGUUCUGUGAUCUGAAUGUUUUACAGCUCAAACAGUCAGUUUUCUUAAUAACCAUAAUCUGAAUUUUAUCUACAUAUGAAUAUUAGGGCCUCUUUUAUGCACAACUUAGGCUUUAAGUUGCUGUAGACUGUGGAUCAGGAACUCAUUUGUAGAUAUCCAGUGUGUGGUCAAUGACUAGAAUCAGUACUCUCAUUAAGGAUCUUCCUUUUUGGUAGCAUUUAAUUAUGGCACCCAAGAUGAUCCUAGGUGAAUAAAGUUAUGAUUUCAUACAGUAUCUCUUGAACAGAUGGCUAUGAAAUGUGUGACAAAGGACCUGUGGAAUCUGUCACCUCUUCAAAUGUGUAAAAACUUUACAUAAAAGGACAAAAAUAUAAUUCGACUGUAUCCUUAAAAACAAAGGACAAACAGUUCAAACCCUAUGUAUUAUAUCUCCAAGAGUCUAAAUAAUAACAUUUGCAUUAUUAAGCAUCAACAUUGGCAACUCAAAAUUAAAAUAUAUAGGGAGUAGGAUCAUGAGGGAAGCAUGAAAUCAUGUGCAAAUAUUCUAAUUUUCAUAGACCUAUUUCCCAUAGCUCUUGGUUAGCACAAAAAUAAUGUAUUAUAGUCAACCAGUCAAUAUCCUCUUUUUACAUGCCAUAAAAUGAUAUGGCAUAAAACCAGUUCAGUGGGCAGAAGCAGUCACAGUGACAUUUGCAUUAUUUAACACCUUCUAGGAGAACAAUUUUCAAGAGUAGAAACAUGUUUAACACCUCCAUUCCCUAAUGUCCUGUAACAAAAACAAGGCAGGCACAUGGUGUAAGCAAAUUUGGGAUGUUUCCUGGUAGGUUAUGGGUAAGCAUAGGAUUCCUGUGAUAUAAUUCUCAGAACAAUUAUUUGCACACAUUCUUUGCCCUGCACCUCAAAUCCCAGUGGCCACAGGUUUAGGAGUUUGCAUCAGCUGAAUUUUAAGGGGGGGGGAAAGCUGACAAAUGCACAGACCAUCAUGCAUAAGCCCAUCUAAACCUCACUUCAGAUAUUGUGAAUAAAUGAUGAGCAGUCCCUUAAUAACCCAAGUAUCUGCACAUCCAGAUUAAUUUAGGAUUGACUUAUAUAUAAGGGUGUUCGCUCAAUUCCAAGGCUGGGACUGACCACUGUCAAGGAUUCCAAAAGCAGACAAGGUGUUUGCAGAAAAUAGGAAAGCGAGUCACACCAAACCUUUUAGGUCAAUUAAGGAAAACAUACUUAGCUGGGAUGUAAGAACUUCAUUCACAUCUUACCAGCCCACAUACACCAAAAAUAAUGCCACUAGUAACAAUCAGCAGCAGGUAGGAUAAGCCUGCAAGACAACCAGUCCACUCAUCAGCAAAAGCAGAGAAGCUUAACUCAAAAAUACUGAGACCAAAGGACUUAACACUUUUCACCCCCUUUCAAAGAUUAGGGGGAAAUAUUUGCUUUAAAAAAAAAAAAUGGAUCAAGCUUAAUAUUUCUUACAGGGUUAACAAUGCUCCAAACUCCUGAGAAAUAUCUCAGAAGGGUUGAAAGGUGGAGUGCAAGGCAAUGUUUCAGGGGAUUAAGUAUCCCACAGAUUUUUUUUUUUUUAAAUCCCAAACACCACAAACACACAAAACUUGUCUGUGAAUUAGAGGACAAGAUAUUGCUAUUUUGGGAGGGGAGAAGG
ensembl:lncRNA